GACCUAGACUCUUUAACUUAUAUUUAUAAGAUCUAGAAUCUGUAUCUAGAUCUAUUCCUAUACACUGAUUAUACACUACAUAUUUAAUGUUUCUGAUGAGCAAUACUACUGUCUACAGCCAUUGCCCAUUAACAUAGGCCCUACUCACGUACUAGAUCUAGCUCUAUUGAUCACAACUCAUAUCUUACCUAGAUAUAAAUAACUGUACUAGAUUGGACUAGACAUUCUAACCGGUUCUAUUUUCUUUUUUCAUUAUUCUCACACAUUCCAGUAGGUACCAAAUUGUGCUAUUAUUCACUGUAGAUCUAGAUCUUAACUUUUCUCUUAACUACCAAAGAAGUACCUAAAGGAUGUUGAAUGGUACCCAAAGGGCUCUAAUUGCUACCAUUCAAUGUGUGGAAUCAAGUAUUUACCCAGAUACUGCCACAAUAUGUUCUUAUUGUUUUCAAAGGAGUUUGCACACAGUGCCAGAAGCUGUAUAAAUACAUUUAACAAUGUUUAUUUCAAGAAGAAAUGAUGCUUUCUUAUUCCUAAAAUUUUAUCAAUACGAUGGAUGCCACAAAACUCACUUGUUAUGCCAGAAACUCUUCCUACGAAACUUCCAGUAGUUAAAAAAAAUCAAAGUUUCCCUUUCAGACCUUGUAAUCAAUAGAGCAGAUGAUGUAAGUAUCAUCUAUUUCUGACAAUCUGUUGUCUACGUUUAACGAGGGUGUCAUGUGGCCAGCACUGAGUGGACUCAGACUCAAAUUAAAAAUUCCAGUCUUCACCAGGAUUCGAACCCCGGUACCCGGUUCGGAAGCUUAGCGCUUUACCGCUAAGCCACCAGGCCUCCUUCCAUACUAGAACUUGUCCAGUGCCUGUGAUCCUCGGAGUUGAAGGAGAGUGUGCUCCAUAAUACUUAGAAGGAGUUUGCUGAUAGCUGGAAGUUCAUGAAUACUAUGUUGUCCUUGAUUUGAUGAUUCUGAAAAUACCAUUUCUGAAGA